UCAAAAUAUAGUUUUGAAAAAUAUAAUUAAAAUUUGUGUUACAACAAAUAAGGUUUGAUUUAACUAAAUAGAAGAUAAUGUAUUCUUA